UAUAAACUGGACGUGCAUAUUUCGGUAACGGUUCGUAGGCUACACAUUGCUCUUAAGGGUAAUUCACUUUACGAUUUUAUACACUUCUGCUAUCUAAUUAAUGACAUCAUUAAAAUCAUAGUUGUGUUUGUGUGCAGUACGUAAUCCUUAGGUCCUUAGUUUCAAAGCACGUUCAUGGCCUGCUGCCUAGCGCCAUGUGGCAAAGACAAUGUGUUGGACUAUCUUCUGUGUUCUGAGCUUACUCAUGUGCGGAGUGCAGUGGAAGUUUUGACCGUCUUGGCCCAAGGGAGCAAGCAGUGUCUGGUGGAACAGAUUCUACAGGCAGAGAAGAAAGAGGACUGUAUUCGUGUGCUCACACAGUUACUCUGUUCAUCAGACCACUGGCUAUGCAGCAGCACGGCCUACCUGUUUGGGGUUCUGAUGGAGAGUGAGGCUAUUGGGCGGACUCUGAGAGAAUGCAGUCACGAAAACAAUGACAGUUUGGUGGCCGUCUUGGGACAGCUCCUGACCAAAGAUGAUCCAGACACCAUCAUGAAUUCUGCUGGGGCAAUAGCCUCUUUGGUUGAGAGCUCAGAGGGCCGUCAGUGGCUGCUGAGCCAGCCGGUCUUCACACAGGUUCUGGAGAGCCUGUCUCACCUGCUGGGUCACGCCAGCGAGAGCACGGUCAACUCAGCUGCUCUGAUCCUUGCCCGGCUGUCCCUGUGCGAGGAGGCCUGCCAGAGCCUGUUGGGCCACCCCGCGGCCACCAGGACUCUGAGUCGCCUGGCGAGGUGCCUGGCACAUAGUGACACAGACACAGCCAUGAAUGCAGCCUUUGCAGUGGGACGCCUGUGUGAGAGCGAGCAGGGCAGGAGUCUCAUCUUGGCACAGGCCAGAGAACAUCAGCUGGUCAGCAGUCUGCAGGCCCUAUUGUGCACGGGGGCGGGCCCAGAGGCGGGACAGACGGCCUGCUUUGCACUGAGUUGCCUGGCAACUGAGGAAGACGGGCAUGCCUUGGUCCUGGACAGCCCCUCGUUUCCCAAGCUGCUGGAUGGCCUCCUGCAGCUGUUACAGAGAGAGGAGCACGACAGCACUUGGUUUGCAGCUAUGACUAUUAAAGUGCUCGUCUCGUGGCCCAAAGGAGUUGUGAGAGUGAGAGACCACCGCCUUUUGGAGAGACGCUUACAGGCCUUGUCCCUCUCUGCCUCCUCGGGGCUGGAGCUCCAGGAGGAGGUGAAUGCUUGCCUGAGGAGGUUGCAGCGCCUCCCUAAGCCUGCUCCCGUGAGCGUUCGCCGGCUGCCACCGGGGACGUGCCGGGUGUCCUGGGAGAGGUGUGCCCCAGAGAGUGGCCUGGAAGUGUCUUACUGCCUCCAGGACAAUGAUACAGUGCUCUACCGUGGCCCUCUGUGUAACGUGACCAUCCCAUCCUCAACCCUUCUAUCUGGAGAACCACUUUCACUGCGACUCAGUCAGUCAACCUCCGACGGGGACGUCAGUCCUCUCAGUGAGGCAGUGGCCGCAGAGGCAGAGAGGGUGGGACUGAGGCUGGGUCCUCCACGGGAGCUACGCGUGAUUGGCUGCACAGCCACACAAGUGCGGCUGAGCUGGGCAGGUCCUGAGGGAGAGCUGAAACCAAAAGGGUACCACAUCUACCGUGGGGACACACUGGUAGACACUAUCACUGGACCUGGGGUGAUAGUGAGUGGGCUGUCUCCCUCCACCCAGUACUGGUUACGUGUAUGUGCAGUGGGGCUGGCAGACAUUACCGGACCCUUUACGGAAGUGGAGGUCAGCACAGCUGACAUCCAAGACCAUGCUCCCAGCAGGCUGAUGGUGGUGGUGCUUGGCCGGCACGAGCUGCACAUCAGCUGGGGAACUCCGCUGGUCCCUCUGGGGCGACUGUUUAACUACGAGCUGCGGAUGAACGGCGAUGUGGCCUACCUGGGCACGGAGCGGGUGCACACGGCCCGAAGGCUGGCUGCCAACACGGCUUACACCUGCACUGUCACAGCCAUCACCUCCAGGGGGCGCCGUGAGGGCCGGCCAGUCACUAAGAGGACUGCACGAGAUGAGUACCAGCACACACACAGAUGUCUGUACUCACCCAACCGCCACACCCCCACUCAGAUGGCCGCCCCUUCUCCACCAGCCCGCGAGGUCAACGAGGUCAGGGAGAAGUCACACUCACCACCUAAACAUCUGCCCAAGGUCCACCUCACUAGCUAUCGUCACCGGCAGGGAACCCACAUCCGAGACGGACACAGGCGCUUCCCACCAGCCGAGCCGGAGCUGGGCUGUCGGAGCACACAAAAGGCAAACCAGAUCACGCCGGGGCUUGUGAGUGGGUUUGAUGUGAGGGCUUUCCUGGAGAGGAGUGAGAUGGGUGCUGAAGUAGAAGAGUGCCCCGUGAUGGUGCCCCUAAGACCCCCCUUACUCCUACCCUCAAAGACAGGUCAAAGAGAGGUCAACCUGUGGGCUCAGCCAUCACUGCUGGAUAGUGCUCUUAUUACAGCCAAAAUCACUCCAGGGACCUUACUGCAGUGGACUGCUACAAAAAGAGGCUCAGAAAACAGGGGGAGAUUACCACUUAUCAGUCCUCAUCCCUCAGGCAGACUGAGGUCCAUCCAGCCGGUUAGUUAUUCUUGGUCUGACCCGGAUUGGACUGGGCACCAUUCUAACAGGGUUCUUCGAAGCAGACUUGUGACGGGAUCCAGAGCACACAGCGAGGUCAGAGGCAGGCACAACCACACUGCUCUGAGAAUGGCCAGCAUUUAAACCCACUGAAUCUGACUGAGAUCAAAGGAAAACCAGGGACUGCCAGCAUAUAUUUUUUAAACCAGACAGGCAGGAUGCAGAGGGGAAGGAGAUGUGCUAAUAUCAGUAGUUUUCAGUAUUUAUUAUACAGUAUAUAAUAUAUAAAACAAAAUUAUGCUGACAACUACAGAGACAACCCCACCAACCUCAGUGGCUGUCCCAGAUUUAUAUAGUUGCCGUGUUCAUGUGUGUUGUUAGUCCGGUUUAUAUGUGUGGUAGAAAUUAAAUCAGAGGUAGGCAAGCAGAUGUGUAAGUUAUUGUGUAUGUGUUUGAUAUGUGUGUAAAUCCACAGUGUUUUAUUGGAAUUCAGGUGUCUUAUGAUUGGCUGGUUGACACUGCAUGUUGUCUGUUUGUGUCUCCUUGUGCAACACCACCAUUGAUACCUUUAUAUAAAUACAUGGAUUUAAUGUUUGUCUAGUACAUUUAAUGUGUUGUCCAAAAUCAGCAGUUAACACAGCUUUCAGUUAUCUACAAUAAAUGGUAAAUAUAUUGGUCA
rnacentral:lncRNA from 1 species